rnacentral:lncRNA from 1 species
CAACUUCCGGGCAGAAGGAAGAGACAGAGGAAGGAGAAAAAAAAGUGACCAGAGGCAAGGUGCAAGGAGCAGGAAACCAAGAGAAAGCUUAUACCUCCAGACAGAAUGCAAAGGCAAAAAUAAUUGGCAUCUCUGUAAUAGGGGAUGACUGGCUGUGGGUACAGCAAUAAACAGGGAAGUGAAUAUGAACUCGGAUCAAGCAUGUGGG